CGAUAUGCAAUUGCUUCACUUGUUAUCCUCUCUACUUCCUACAACUCUCUUACUGUUUCUCAGCGCGUCUCGGUUCCUCCAACAUCAUGGGAAAGAUCAAGAUUGGUGCAAUCAAGAUGAAGAUCGUGGAAUCUCUGUCCCAACUCUUGCACCUCAUAACAUCACACCUGCCGUCAAGAUUGCCAGCUUCUCCUCCUAAUAUUGACGACCUGGAAUCGC